rnacentral:rRNA from 1 species
GACGAACGCUGGCGGCGUGCUUAACACAUGCAAGUCGAACGGAAAGGCCCUGCUUUUGUGGGGUGCUCGAGUGGCGAACGGGUGCGUAACACGUGAGUAACCUGCCCUUGACUUUGGGAUAACUUCAGGAAACUGGGGCUAAUACCGGAUAGGAGCUCCUGCUGCAUGGUGGGGGUUGGAAAGUUUCGGCGGUUGGGGAUGGACUCGCGGCUUAUCAGCUUGCUGGUGGGGUAGUGGCUUACCAAGGCUUUGACGGGUAGCCGGCCUGAGAGGGUGACCGGCCACAAUGGGACUGAGAUACGGCCCAGACUCCUACGGGAGGCAGCAGUGGCGAGUAUUGCACAAUGGGCGGAAGCCUGAUGCAGCAACGCCGCGUGCGGGAUGACGGCCUUCGGGUUGUAAACCGCUUUCGCCUGUGACGAAGCGUGAGUGACGGUAAUGGGUAAAGAAGCACCGGCUAACUACGUG